UACGGAGGGUGCAAGCGUUAUCCGGAUUCACUGGGUUUAAAGGGUGCGUAGGCGGGCAGGGAAGUCAGUGGUGAAAUCUCCGGGCUUAACUCGGAAACUGCCGUUGAUACUCUCUGUCUUGAAUAUGGUGGAGGUGAGCGGAAUAUGUCAUGUAGCGGUGAAAUGCUUAGAUAUGACAUAGAACACCAAUUGCGAAGGCAGCUCGCUACACCUAUAUUGACGCUGAGGCACGAAAGCGUGGGGAUCAAACAGG
rnacentral:rRNA from 1 species